AACAGGAUUAGAUACCCUGGUAGUCCACGCCCUAAACGAUGUCUACUAGUUGUCGGGUUUUAAUUAACUUGGUAACGCAGCUAACGCGUGAAGUAGACCGCCUGGGGAGUACGGUCGCAAGAUUAAAACUCAAAGGAAUUGACGGGGACCCGCACAAGCGGUGGAUGAUGUGGAUUAAUUCGAUGCAACGCGAAAAACCUUACCUACCCUUGACAUGUCAGGAAUCCUCGAGAGAUUGAGGAGUGCUCGAAAGAGAGCCUGAACACAGGUGCUGCAUGGCUGUCGUCAGCUCGUGUCGUGAGAUGUUGGGUUAAGUCCCGCAACGAGCGCAACCCUUGUCAUUAGUUGCUACGAAAGGGCACUCUAAUGAGACUGCCGGUGACAAACCGGAGGAAGGUGGGGAUGACGUCAAGUCCUCAUGGCCCUUAUGGGUAGGGCUUCACACGUCAUACAAUGGUACAUACAGAGGGCCGCCAACCCGCGAGGGGGAGCUAAUCCCAGAAAGUGUAUCGUAGUCCGGAUUGUAGUCUGCAACUCGACUACAUGAAGUUGGAAUCGCUAGUAAUCGCGGAUCAGCAUGUCGCGGUGAAUACGUUCCCGGGUCUUGUACACACCGCCCGUCACACCAUGGGAGCGGGUUUUACCAGAAGUAGGUAGCUUAACCGCAAGGAGGGCGCUUACCACGGUAGGAUUCGUGACUGGGGUGAAGUCGUAACAAGGUAACC
rnacentral:rRNA from 1 species